UCGUCUCUGCGCUGGUUUGAGUCAGAAUACGCAGUGUUUUACGCAGGGAAAGUAGGGAUAUAACUAAGUCAAAUGAUCUUUUACUCGUCAACGUUGUUUCGACAUGUUUAUUAAUUGUAUUUUUGACUAAUAUUUAACGGUGAACAGCAAGAUCCGGCAAUGUUUAUCGUUUUAUUACUUCGUUCGUAUACGUUCGUAUAAUAAUUCUGUAAGUAUAUCGACUUUCGACAUUAGUUUGCUUGAUCAAAGAUGUGAAAAGGUAUGCUAACAAGCAAUAGAAAUCUAUAUUCUUAUUACAGGGAACAGCAACGCAAGAAGUGAAAGAAAACUAAAUUGUCGCUGAUGAUAAUCGAUUGACAACUGAUCGAUGUGUAUGGAAAGACAUGUCAAUAAUACAACACGAAUCACAAUAUCGAAGGAGCAAUGGCCCUUGAAGCACAUGUCGUCGCGGACGGAUCUGCAAUUGGAAAACUCUAUCUUCGUCUACCAUGUUUCUAAUUUAUCCACUCCCGGGUUGGAAAUGUGGUCCUAAGAUAACGUCAAUAAAUACAAAUUAAAAAAUAGAUUUUUGUUUGAGAUUGAAAUCAUACUAAUUGAAGCUAUGAUAAUAUAAAAUUCUCUCCAUGUGUGUCUUAACCCCCGACAAAGAAUUGUGAUUAUAUUCUGUCGAUUUCGCAUACGUCCCCGUCUGUAUACUAAAGUAAUAUGUUCCAAGGACAUCAUUGAAAUCGCGAGUAAUUUGCAGACAAAAAUCAGAUAGGGGGAGAAUCUCUAAUAUGACUGAACUCUACAAAACCCUAACAUCGGAACAAUAUUAUUGAAACGCGUUUCGAGAAAACAACAAGAAUCAUAAGAUCGUGAAAACUGAAGCCGAUAAAUAAUCACUCAUUACAUACCGAAAUGCAAAUGGAAUAUGAAUGUGGAGUACGGAGUGUGAGGAGCUUUAGCAUGACUGGUCUCAAACAUUCAAGAACAAAAUCACUGAAAGUCUAUAAAUGUAGAGACAAAAUUUUGAAGAGAUGAGCAUAAUCUGACUGCCAUUUGUGGAACAGUAUUAUUGAAAAUAUUUAUGAAAAAGAAUGAACGAACAGCGGCUACGAAGAAAACUGAUAUGAAAUGCGAAAUACAUUGUGUGUGUAUUGUUGUAUUUAACAUUCUCCAUUCACACACUUUCAUUGAAAUGAACCUAUGGGUCGUUUUCUAAUUAUGUCGUUGUGAAAAUAUCGCCUCACUUAUCCGAUUGCCGGACCAAUUGCUUUGAAAUUUUCAAUGGUUGAAACGUGUUGUUGUCGCUAGAAGCCUACUUUUAUUUAUUUUCCAUUAAAAGUAUUUGAGCUGUUUUGAAUUUCAAAGAUUAUGUGAUGUCAUCAAAAUUAAAAUUAUUUUCACUUCGACGUUUCGUGUGGGACGUCAUCAAAAUUAAAAUGAUGGCAUACCGUGUCGUGGUCUGACUACCGGUACUGUAAUAGAUUUGAUACUACUUCGGUUUGGCCUGUGGUAUAUAUAUUUGUGCAUUGUUUCUUGUAUGUUAUAUUGAUACACUGCAAGUUUGCGUUCGCAUCUAUCUGCUUAAAGUCCAAUUUUACGGAAUCGCAUUAACCACACUAACACGCCACGCAUUCAAAUUUAAAAUGUGUAGCAAAAUCAUGUCAUCCCUCCUUCAAAAGUAAAAACGGAUUUCUGAAUAAAGUUGCUAAAGACAACCUAAAAUGCCAAAUGUAGUACAUGUCGAUUAGCUCAUGUAAGCAAUUAUAUUCAUUAUGAUAACGAAUAGAGAUAUAAAUGGUGAAUUCCAUAGAAUUCGUUCUGGAAAUUUUUUUCUCUCCAUUCUAUGAUUUCUGCAUACAGAUGCCUAGAAUUAUUCUUUUAGGGAUAUGUAAUUUAAUGACUAUGACACAAUAAAAAUUAUAGAAGCCUAGAUAUGCCAUCCCAUAUCAUAAUUCUACCCGUUAAGGUUAACACGUAACAUUGACACGUAAUUUAUUUGAUUUAUUGCGAGACUACAGUUUUUUUCUCUGGUAUGUUGCGUAUUCUGCUAUCCACCGAUUUUUAUUUUUUUUCAGUUU